rnacentral:lncRNA from 1 species
GGCCUCCACUCCAGCCCGGCUCUCUAUUACCCAACGCCGGAGUUUUUCCCACCGCCAGGUGAAGGCAGGAGAGCAGAGUCCACCCGGAGAGCGGGCCGUGAUCCCCAGCCAAGGAAGCAAAAGUGAAAGUUUCAAAGACUACCGUACCGGCCCUGGCGGAGAAAAACGUAGCCUUGCCUGGGGGUGGGGGUGCUAGUCAGGGGAAGCGUGUUGGCCCCGGGAGGGGACGUGCGACAGCCAGCGGGGAAACUGAGGCAGCGAGGUCGCCUGUAGUCUGGGUGUGUUAAAAGUUGUUGCAAAGACCGGGAAGAAGUUUCGGAAGAGCCUUCCGCGGGAGACUCCAGGCGGGUUUUAGCUGCUCCUGACCUGGUUUCCCGCACACUGUGGGUCGGUUCUGCUCGGGAAGCUGGCGAAGGACGCAGUCCUGCUCCGUUGCUGCCGCCCCUGCCCUCGCCACCCGGGUCCCCGCGCGGGGCUCAUCCGGGUCCGGGCUCCGGCCCGAGCUGCGAAAUCGCUUGCUUGUCGGACUCGAGCCGUGGCACUAUCAAAGUGAACUGUCCCGAGAAACUCUUGUUUAGGAGCCGGGAUGAAGCUCAAGCAGCUCGCUUUAAUGGUGAUUUGUGGCUCGGCGAGGGGCACGGACAGCAAACAGCCCGCAGAUCCAAUAGAAACAAUGAUUACUCAGGACAAGGCAGGUGGUCAGGAGACGCUGGCCCGGCCGUUCCGCUUGGGGCGCGGGUCUUCAUCAGAACUCACGGCGGCUGUGCUUCCUGCUCGAUGCUCCGUGGGCCUGGGAGGAAGCUGCACGGAGGACAAAGCCUGGGCCCUGCAGAGGAGGUGGACGCGGCUGCUGCGGUCACGCACACACCUGGCUGCCACCGUGUAACCCAGGGACCACGUGCUGCACACUUGUGGCUGAAGGUGGCUCGGUCCCUCUCAGGCCUGCUCUCCCACCUCUCCCUCCUCUGGCCUUCUCCAUUAGAAGCCAAGGGAAGAAAUGACUUCUGAAUUUUAUUUAUUUGUUUAUUCGUUUAUUUUAUUUGAGACGGGGUCUCACUAUGUAGCCCAGGCUGGCCCGGAACUCACAGUGAUCCUCCUGCCUCAGCCUCCCGAGUGCAGCGAUCACAGGUGUGUGUAACCACGUCCAACUCUGACUUACAUUUUUUAAAAUUAAGAUGAAUGGCUUUGGGUCCAUUCCAAUACAGGAACUCAGUGGCAGUUAUAAAACAGUAAAAAUGGGUCACAGAAAGAUAGAGAUUAGGUUAAAACAUUUCUCUGAAAUGUCCGCAUCCAUUUUUGGAGGGACACAGCUGUUACCUUCCUGUGAUUCAUCAUUUUUGGAAGAGGGGCUUAGAAUCAACAUGAGAAAUGAUAUUUCCACCAAAGACAUUGUUUUCUUAUAUAGACAUUAUUUUUUUAAGAUUUUAUCUUGAUUUUGUUUUGUUAGUACAUGUUUGUAGCACAUAACGUUACAUUCCUUGUGGGGAGUGGUACAUGUCCGUAACACAUCGAUACUCCUUUUCAUACAUUUUAAAAUGCAAAUCGGCCUUUUCCUCACGGUGCUUCACCAUAUCAGCGUGUGUGUGUGCGUGCACGCGUGCAUGCGUGCACACCUGUAUGAAUGCACAUUUGUUCAUGUGUGUCUUUUCACACAUAGGUAUGUAUGGAUGGAAGAGGUCUUUUCAAGCAUCUAGAAUCUGAAUCUCAUUAGAAGUAGGUGACAAAAUUAAGAGCGGUACAGAAUAAUAAUAAAAAUAAAGGUCAGCGAUUUCACGUCACAAAACCCCUAGCCAGGCAUGGCGGCACAUCCCUGCAGUCCCAGCAGGGGAGGCUGAGGCAGGAGGGUUGAGAUGAGUUGGAGGCCAGCCUGGGUGAGAAUAUAUCUCAAAAAAAACCAAACAAUGCUGCUUGCCUUGUAAGCGAAAGGUCCUGAUUUUGAUCCCCAAUACCAAAAACAAACACCCCCCCAAAAAUCAAGCCUCAUUUUAUAGUAUUCUGAUAGUUUCAAAACUAUUAUGACAGAAUGAUAUUAUACUCCUAAAUUUUAAUUUUUUUUAACUUUUGGAAAGGGUUGUCUUUUGAGAGAGUCUCGCUGUAUAGACCAGACUGACCUCAAACUCCCAGUAUUCUUCCUGAUUCAGCCUCCUGAGUGCUGAGAUUACAGGCAUGCGCCACCACAUCCGGCUAGCCUUAAAGAAUUUUAUGUGAACUCUGUCACCAAAAAUCAUCUGUAGAGGUUUUUGUUUGUUUGUUUGCUUGUUUUGGUUGUUUUUUUUUUUUGUACCAGGGAUAAAAGUUGGGACCUUUUGCUUGUGAAGCAGGCAAAGAACCACUGAGCUAAAUCCUUGGCCCAUAGAGUUUUUUAAAUAAUAUAUACACAAUCACUUCUUCAUGAGGAAUUAAGGUUUUUAAUUUUGUUGGUUUUUUUUGUUUUGUUUUGUUUUUUUGUUUUUUUGGUACCGGAGAUUGAACUCAGGCCCUUGUGCUUAUGAGGCAGGUGCUGGAACCACUGAGCUAAAUCCCCAGCCCAAGGUUUUUAAUUUAAAAAAAUUUUUUUGACACAGAGUCUUGCUAUUUGGUUCAGGCUGUCCUUGAACUCACUAUGUAGUCCAGGCUGGCCUCAAACUCAGGGUGAUUCUCCUGCUUCAACCUCCUAAGUGCUGGGAGAGGAGUUAAAUUUUAAUGCAUAAGUAUUUCUGUUACUGUCAAACAUUAGGAUAAGAUAGUAUUUGCUAUUCACAUGGAAGAUAAACUGUGG